GACGAACGCUGGCGGCGUGCUUAACACAUGCAAGUCGAACGGAAAGGCCCUGCUUUUGUGGGGUGCUCGAGUGGCGAACGGGUGAGUAACACGUGAGUAACCUGCCCUUGACUUUGGGAUAACUUCAGGAAGCUGGGGCUAAUACCGGAUAGGAGCUCCUGCUGCAUGGUGGGGGUUGGAAAGUUUCGGCGGUUGGGGAUGGACUCGCGGCUUAUCAGCUUGUUGGUGGGGUAGUGGCUUACCAAGGCUUUGACGGGUAGCCGGCCUGAGAGGGUGACCGGCCACAUUGGGACUGAGAUACGGCCCAGACUCCUACGGGAGGCAGCAGUGGGGAAUAUUGCGCAAUGGGCGGAAGCCUGAUGCAGCAACGCCGCGUGCGGGAUGACGGCCUUCGGGUUGUAAACCGCUUUCGCCUGUGACGAAGCGUGAGUGACGGUAAUGGGUAAAGAAGCACCGGCUAACUACGUG
rnacentral:rRNA from 1 species